AAGUCGUAACAAGGUUUCCGUAGGUGAACCUGCGGAAGGAUCAUUAUUGAAAUAAACCUGAUGGGUUGUUGCUGGUUCUCUAGGGAGCAUGUGCACGCCCUUGUCAUCUUUAUAUCUCCACCUGUGCACUUUUUGUAGCCCUUUCAGGGUCUAUGUUGCUUCAUUUACCCCAAUGUAUGUUAAUAGAAUGUUGUGCCUAUAUAAUAUAUACAACUUUCAGCAACGGAUCUCUUGGCUCUCGCAUCGAUGAAGAACGCAGCGAAAUGCGAUAAGUAAUGCGAAUUGCAGAAUUCAGUGAAUCAUCGAAUCUUUGAACGCACCUUGCGCUCCUUGGUAUUCCGAGGAGCAUGCCUGUUUGAGUGUCAUUAAUAUAUAUAUCAAACUUCUCUUGUUGAGUGGUUUGGAUGUGUGGGGGUUUGCUGGCAUCUUAAAAAAGGUUCAGCUCCCCUGAAAUGCAUUAGCAGAACAACCUGUUCAUUGGCGUGGUAACUAUCUACGCUAUUGAAUGUGAGGGGCAGUUCAGCUUUCUAACAGUCCUUGGACAAAUCAUCAUUAAUGUGACCUCAAAUCAGGUAGGACUACCCGCUGAACUUAAGCAUAUCAAUAAGCGGAGGAAAAGAAACUAACAAGGAUUCCCCUAGUAACUGCGAGUGAAGCGGGAAAAGCUCAAAUUUAAAAUCUGGCGGUCUUUUGGCUGUCCGAGUUGUAAUCUAGAGAA
rnacentral:misc_RNA from 1 species